AGUGGACAUGAAAUGUACCUUAUAAAAUGACACAAAUACAUGGAGAUUUAAGCUACAGUAUAUAAAGAUGUCGGGUCGGAUUUCGCGGGUAAUGUCAACUUUACGUCAUUCGUCUUUGCGUGGUUAUGUCACGUUCGUAAACAGAGAAGAAGGUCCGUCCGACUAUUACAGCGCAUGUUCAGUGAGGUGGGAGGUGUGUUUGUUCUGACAGGUUUUUUUUUCUCCAUAACCAAUGAGCAGAGUUGUUAUCUUAUCAGUGAAUUGUUUAAAAGUUUACAAGCAAAGAGGAAGGUGACAGAGCCAAACCGACCUAGAGAUGGACUCUUUCUUGCUCGACAGGACAUCCCACUGCAGCAGGUGGAAGAGACUGAGGCCAUAUGGACGGACAGAUGAACUCUUCAGAGACUGCAGUUACUCCAAAAAAA